rnacentral:ncRNA from 2 species
ACUAUCUUUGCCAUGUUUUGUUCCGCGUACCUCCGACUGAUGCGAGGAAGCGGAUGAAAAGGGAAUCAGGUGCAAGUCCUGAACAGUCCCGCUGCUGUAAGCUCCAUCUACCUCUAUAAGGGGAUAGGUUUACUUAUCCACUCACGCCACUGCCUGUAUAUAUAAUAAGGUGGGAAGGCAAGUAAACAGGAGUAAGUCAGAAGACCUGCAAAACGUAAAGUCAUCGA